rnacentral:rRNA from 1 species
GAUGAACGCUGGCGGCGUGCCUAAUACAUGCAAGUCGAGCGAAGCGGGGACGGGUGAGUAACACGUGGAUAACCUCCUAUAAGACUGGGUUAACUUCGGGACACCGGACUUAUACCCGUCACUUAUAGCUUGAUCCGCGCUGCAUUAGCUAGUUGGUAAGGUAACGGCUUACCAAGGCAACGAUGAAUAGCCGACCUGAGAGGGGGAUCGGCAACACUGGAACUGAGACACGGUCCAGACUCCUAAGGGAGGCAGCAGUAGGGAAUCUUCCGCAAUGGGCGAAAGCCUGACGGAGCAACGCCGCGUGAGUGAUGAAGGUCUUCGGAUCGUAAAACACUGUUAUUAGGGAAGCGGUACCUAAUCAGAAAGCCACGGCUAACUACGUGCCAGCAGCCGCGGUAAUUC